GCUGGCGGCGUGGCAUUAGGCAUGCAAGUCGAACGGUAUCUUUCCGACGGAUCCUUCGGGUGAAGUUGGUUUGAGAGAGUGGCGAACUGGUGAGUAACACGUGGGCAACUUGCCCCUGAGUUCGGGAUAGCCCGCCGAAAGGCGGGGUAAUACCGGAUGUGGUCGCUCCGCGAUUGCGGAGUUGUCUGAAGGUGGGGAUUCUUCGGAACCUAUCGCUCAGGGAUAGGCCCGCGGCCUAUCAGCUUGUUGGUGAGGUAACGGCUCACCAAGGCAGAGACGGGUAGCUGGUCUGAGAGGAUGGUUAGCCACACUGGGACUGAGACACUGCCCAGACUCCUACGGGAGGCUGCAGUCGAGAAUCAUUCACAAUGCGCGAAAGCGUGAUGAUGCGACGCCGCGUGGAGGAUGACGGCCUUCGGGUUGUAAACUCCUGUCGUGAGGGAACAAGGAUAGCCAGGUUAAUACCCUGGUUAUUUGAUGGUACCUCAAAAGGAAGCCACGGCUAACUCUG
rnacentral:rRNA from 1 species